rnacentral:rRNA from 1 species
UUUGCUGACGAGUGGCGGACGGGUGAGUAAUGUCUGGGAAACUGCCUGAUGGAGGGGGAUAACUACUGGAAACGGUGGCUAAUACCGCAUAACGUCGCAAGACCAAAGAGGGGGACCUUCGGGCCUCUUGCCAUCAGAUGUGCCCAGAUGGGAUUAGCUUGUUGGUGAGGUAACGGCUCACCAAGGCGACGAUCCCUAGCUGGUCUGAGAGGAUGACCAGCCACACUGGAACUGAGACACGGUCCAGACUCCUACGGGAGGCAGCAGUGGGGAAUAUUGCACAAUGGGCGCAAGCCUGAUGCAGCCAUGCCGCGUGUAUGAAGAAGGCCUUCGGGUUGUAAAGUACUUUCAGCGGGGAGGAAGGUGUUGUGGUUAAUAACCGCAGCAAUUGACGUUACCCGCAGAAGAAGCACCGGCUAACUCCGUGCCAGCAGCCGCGGUAAUACGGAGGGUGCAAGCGUUAAUCGGAAUUACUGGGCGUAAAGCGCACGCAGGCGGUCUGUCAAGUCGGAUGUGAAAUCCCCGG